rnacentral:rRNA from 1 species
GUAGGGGGGCAAGCGUUGUCCGGGAAUUAUUGGGGCGUAAAGGGCGCGUAGGCGGAUGGUUAAGUCCGGUGUGAAAGAUCAGGGGCUCAACCCUGAGAGUGCAUCGGAAACUGGGCAUCUUGAGGACAGGAGAGGAAAGUGGAAUUCCUAGUGUAGCGGUGAAAUGCGUAGAUAUUAGGAGGAACACCAGUGGCGAAGGCGACUUUCUGGACUGUAACUGACGCUGAGGCGCGAAAGCGUGGGGAGCAAACAGGAUUAGAUACCCUGGUAGUCCACGCUGUAAACGAUGAGUGCUAGGUGUAGAGGGUAUCGACCCCUUCUGUGCCGCAGUUAACACAAUAAGCACUCCGCCUGGGGAGUACGGCCGCAAGGUUG